rnacentral:rRNA from 1 species
GAUGAACGCUGGCGGCGUGCCUAAUACAUGCAAGUCGAGCGAAUGGAUUAAGAGCUUGCUCUUAUGAAGUUAGCGGCGGACGGGUGAGUAACACGUGGGUAACCUGCCCAUAAGACUGGGAUAACUCCGGGAAACCGGGGCUAAUACCGGAUAACAUUUUGAACCGCAUGGUUCGAAAUUGAAAGGCGGCUUCGGCUGUCACUUAUGGAUGGACCCGCGUCGCAUUAGCUAGUUGGUGAGGCAACGGCUCACCAAGGCAACGAUGCGUAGCCGAGCGGGGAGGGUGAUCCGCCACACUGGGACUGAGACACGGCCCGGACUCCUACGGGGGGCAGCAGUAGGGAAUCUUCCGCAAGGGACGAAAGUCUGACGGAGCAACGCCGCGUGAGUGAUGAAGGCUUUCGGGUCGUAAAACUCUGUUGUUAGGGAAGAACAAGUGCUAGUUGAAUAAGCUGGCACCUUGACGUUACCUAACCAGAAAGCCACGGCUAACUACGUGCCAGCCGCCGCCGUAA